AUACAAGCUUAAAUGGACUCAGAGAGUAAUUCUGAAUCGAUUAUUAUAAAAAAGCAUGAGUCUAUCUGAAACCCUUCUGGGUGUUGCAUGCAUCAGGACAAAUUCGAUAUACUCCUUGUACCAUUUUCUAUCAAAAGAGCCAUUCGCCAUAGAAAUAUAUGAGUUGGUUAGAUAAUGAUGAUAUAUAACGAAUGGAUGCCGUUGAGGGAAGGAAUACCUGAUGAAUGAAGCGCGUUGGAUAGUCCAUUGCACUUUAGUGCUUCGAACAUUUUCAGAACUUGUUGUGCAUAUACUAAACCUUAAACAAGAACAAAUGCAAUAAGAAAUUGUGCGGAAAGCAUUAUUAAUGAACAUCAUUAACGAGGCCAAUGACAGCAAUUUAUAAUAAUAGCAUCUACGGCUUUAAGUUUAAGUAUCGACGACGAAAAAUCAAAGUAAUCACCAGUAAACUGAAAUGAAAGGUAGUAGUAGAAGGAAGCAUUCGAAUAGUAUAUAUAUAUAUAUAUAUACAUCGUGAGUAUUUAAUACGCGUAAUACUUAAUUAAAUUAAAUGCGAAAAUAAUUGUUACAUAAUACAAAGAGACGGAGAGUCAAAUGUAAUUUAUGUUUCAAUUGAGAAUGUUGCGGCAAACGCUAUGGAUGUUAGCUUCCAUUUAUUGAACGUAAUAUAAAGCAAGAACAAGUGUAGGAGGUAAAGCCGAAACAAUAGCAGCCAACGUCAGUAACAACAACAGCGCCAUCGUCACCGAUAGUAAAUAUAUAAACAAAAACAAAGACAACGAUAUUGUUAGCAAUAAUAAAUAAAUAAGAACAGUUG